GGGAACAUGCCCUUCACUGCGGAAUAGCCUCUGGAAACGGAGAGUAAUACCGCAUACGCCCUUCGGGGAAAGAUUUAUCGGUGAAGGAUUGGCCCGCGUUAGAUUAGAUAGUUGGUGGGGUAAUGGCCUACCAAGUCUACGAUCUAUAGCUGGUUUGAGAGGAUGAUCAGCAACACUGGGACUGAGACACGGCCCAGACUCCUACGGGAGGCAGCAGUGGGGAAUCUUAGACAAUGGGCGAAAGUGAUCUAGCGAUGCCGCGUGAGUGACGAAGGCCUUAGGGUCGUAAAGCUCUUUCGCCAGGGAUGAUAAUGACAGUACCUGGUAAAGAAACCCCGGCUAACUCCGUGCCAGCAGCCGCGGUAAUACGGAGGGGGUUAGCGUUGUUCGGAAUUACUGGGCGUAAAGCGCGCGUAGGGGACUAUUAAGUCAGGGGUGAAAUCCCGGGGCUCAACCCCGAACUGCCUUUGAUACUGGUAGUCUUGAGUUCGAGAGAGGUGAGUGGAAUUCCGAGUGUAGAGGUGAAAUUCGUAGAUAUUCGGAGGAACACCAGUGGCGAAGGGGCUCACUGGCUCGAUACUGACGCUGAGGUGCGAAAGUGUGGGGAGCAAACAGGAUUAGAUACCCUGGUAGUCCACACCGUAAACGAUGAAUGCCAGACGUCAGGGGGCUUGCCUUUGGUGUCACACCUAACGGAUUAAGCAUUCCGCCUGGGGAGUACGGUCGCAAGAUUAAAACUCAAAGG
rnacentral:rRNA from 1 species